AUUGAACGCUGGCGGGAUGCUUAACACAUGCAAGUCGAACGAGUGGCGGACGGGUGAGUAAUAUAUCGGAAGUGCCCAGUAGAGGGGGAUAACUACUGGAAACGGUGGCUAAUACCGCAUACUAUCGGAUAACCCAUAUGGGAUUAGCUAGUAGGUGGGGUAAUGGCUCACCAAGGCGACGAUCCCUAGCUGGUCUGAGAGGAUGAUCAGCCACACUGGAACUGAGACACGGCCCAGACUCCUACGGAGGCAGCAGUGGGGAAUAUUGCACAAUGGGCGCAAGCCUGAUGCAGCCAUGCCGCGUGUAUGAAGAAGGCCCUAGGGUUGUAAAGUACUUUCAGCCGGGAGGCGUUACCGGCAGAAGAAGCACCGGCUAACUCCGUGCCAGCAGCCGCGGUAAUUC
rnacentral:rRNA from 1 species